rnacentral:sRNA from 1 species
UGUGUGCGCCCUAGCGUCAGCCUCGAGUUUGACCAGCAACAGGGUCGGUGUGUCCCUCUGAAUCUGAGAUCUAUGAGGCAGGAGCUGGGGACAGGAUGGCAGGAGCACCCAUGGCUGCUGCUGUACAGCCUGCUGAGGUGACUGUUGAAGUUGGUGAGGACCUCCACAUGCACCACAUUCGUGACCGGGAGAUGCCUGAAGCUUUGGAGUUUAACCUUUCUGCCAAUCCAGAGGCAAGCACAAUAUUCCAGAGGAACUCUCAAACAGAUGCUUUGGAGUUUAACCCUUCUGCCAAUCCAGAGGCAAGCACAAUAUUCCAGAGGAACUCUCAAACAGAUGGUGAGACAACAUUGUUUUUUCCGCCAAGAGAAAGAAUAAAAACUCUUGUUUGAUCAGGUU